GAAAUAUAAACAUAGUAUUGUUAUAACAUAUGCCAAGACGUUAUACAAUGUAUAUUCGUCUAUACUCAUCAUUCAAACAAAACCGUUAUCAGCCCCUUCAUUCCUUCAAUUAAAAAAACCUGGUUACGCCACUGAUCAAAAGUGAAGGUAUUAAUUUGUAUAAUUUGUGUAAAUAUAUUCAUCGAGUAAAAAAUAUUUUUAUCUGCAAAACGUAAGUAAGUAUUCGGAGGGUCCCAUGAGAAUGUAUACACUUCAAUUAUCGAAAACAAAAUAUAUAUACA